rnacentral:lncRNA from 1 species
UUGAAUUUCUUCCUCUGCAGAUUUUUUGUUUGUAUUUUCUUUCAAUUUCUCUCUUUUUUAAAAAUAUGCUUGUAGAAAGAUAUUUUCAAUAUUCUGGGAAAUAAUCCCUUGUUGGUCAUGCAAUAAUGAUUUCCAUGUUCCUGGACUCUCUGUUAUUUCUGCUGGACCCAAAGACUCAAAUGUGAGAGCAGCCAUGGAUUAGCCCUCAUGUUCAGCUACCCAGGUACAGUCUGUAUGGAAUAAUCACAAGAGAUCUCUAAAGCAAUAUGGCAGAGUGCCUACGGCACUGGGUCUCCGAAGCCCUGGUUUUCUAGACUCAGUUUGACCCUUGAUAAUCUGAGAGUUUUCAAGCCACUUUUUUUUCAUCUAUAAAAUCAUAAUAUUAAUGCCAGCCUCAAGGAGUUUUGUGAAAAAAAUAUAAAAUAUGCAAAAUUGAAAAUACAAAUGUUAGCCAUUAUUAGUAGCAAUCAUUCAAAUACAAGGUCAUUGUAUUAGUCUGUGCAGGCUGCCAUAGCAGAAUACUAUAGGCUGAGUGACUUAAAUAGUAGAAAUUAUUUCUCUAGAGCUUGAGAGGCAGGGGGUCUCAGAUCAGGCUACCAGCAUGAUAUAGUUCUAGUGAGAGCUCCCUUCCUGGCUUGCAGAUGGCUGCCUUCUUGAUGCAUCAUCACACAGGGAGGAGUGCAAGCUCUGAUGUCUCAUCUCCUUCUUACAAGGGCAGCAGUCCUAUCGAAUUAGGGCUCUACCAUUAUGACCUCAUUUAACCUUUAUCUCCUCUUCAUAGGCCCUAUUUCCUCCAAACACAGUCAUCUUGGGGGUUAGAGCUUUAGCAUAAGAAUUUUAAGGACAUAAUUCAGUCUAUAGCAGUCAUGGUACACUGAUACCCACUUACUUAUUUCCAGAUGGACCUAAGUUUCUUAAUUUUUCAUCAGAACUAGUUGGGAACACCAUUAAUUUUGUGAAGAAGUUUCCUUUGGCUCUCUCUAUUAAAAAGCAUUACUGUUAUCAAAGCAAAGUUUUACCAUUUCUGCGACUGUCAUCCAUAAGAGACAACCCAUGCCUGUCAGCUUAAAGGUGGUUGGCUAAACAGCAGAGCAGCAUUAUUCACAAUAGCCAAGAUAUGAAAGCAGUUCAAGUGCCUGUCAGUUGAGGAAUGGAUAAAGAAGAGGUGGGGUGUGUGUGUGUGUGUGUGUGUGUGUGUGUAUACACACACACACGCAUAUAAUGGAAUAUCAUUUAGCCAUAAAAAGUAAUGAAAUCUUGCCAUUUGCAACAACACGGAUGGAGCUAGAGCGUAUUAUGCUAAACAAAGUAAGUCAGACAGAGAAACACAGAUACCAUAUGAUUUCACUCAUAAGUAGAAUUUAAGAAACAAAACAAAUAAGCAAAGGGGGAAAGAUGAGAGAGAAUAAACGUAAGAAACAAACUCUUAAAGAACAAAUUGAUGGUUACCAGACGGGAGGGGGGAAUGGGUUAAACAGGUGAUGGGGAGUAAGGAGUGGAGUUCUUGUGAUGAGCACCGGGUAUUGUAUGGAAGUGUUAAUCAUUAUAUGGUACACCUGAAACUAAUAUCACACUAUAUGUUAACUAAUGGAAUUAAAAUAAGUAAAAACUUUAAAAAGUGAUUGGGUAAAAAGACUAGAUCAGUACUCUCCAAGAGAACUUUCUGUGAUGUUAGAAAGGGCCUAUAAAAUCUAUACUCACACAGUAGCCACUAGCCACACAUGGAUCCUGGGCAUGUCAUAUGCGACUAGAAUCACUGGAGAAUUGUAAUUUUGAUUUUAUUUAAUUUUAGUUAAAAGUAGAAUCAGACCAAUAAAUACAGAGAACAACCUGAUGGUUGCCAGAGGGAAGAAGGAUAAAGGGAUGGGCAAAAAGGGUGAUGGGGAAUGGGAGGUGCCAGCUUCCAGUUAUG